GACGAACGCUGGCGGCGUGCUUAACACAUGCAAGUCGAACGGAAAGGCCCUGCUUUUGUGGGGUGCUCGAGUGGCGAACGGGUGAGUAACACGUGAGUAACCUGCCCUUGACUCUGGGAUAACUUCAGGAAACUGGGGCUAAUACCGGAUAGGAGCUCCUGCUGCAUGGUGGGGGUUGGAAAGUUUCGGCGGUUGGGGAUGGACUCGCGGCUUAUCAGCUUGUUGGUGGGGUAGUGGCUUACCAGGGCUUUGACGGGUAGCCGGCCUGAGAGGGUGACCGGCCACAUUGGGACUGAGAUACGGCCCAGACUCCUACGGGAGGCAGCAGUGGGGAAUAUUGCACAAUGGGCGGAAGCCUGAUGCAGCAACGCCGCGUGCGGGAUGACGGCCUUCGGGUUGUAAACCGCUUUCGCCUGUGACGAAGCGUGAGUGACGGUAAUGGGUAAAGAAGCACCGGCUAACUACGUG
rnacentral:rRNA from 1 species